GCCCCGGUAGCUCAGGAGGAUAGAGCGCGAGAUUCCUAAUCUCGAGGUCGGGGGUUCGAAUCCCCCCCGGGGCA
rnacentral:tRNA from 6 species